CUUCGGACCUCGUGCUAUAGAUGGGCCUAUAUUGGAUUAGCUAGUUGGUAGGGUAAAGGCUACCAAGGCGACGAUCCAUAGCUGGUUUGAGAGAAUGAUCAGCCACACUGGGACUGAGACACGGCCCAG
rnacentral:rRNA from 1 species